ACGAACGCUGGCGGCGUGCUUAACACAUGCAAGUCGAACGGAAAGGCCCUGCUUUUGUGGGGUGCUCGAGUGGCGAACGGGUGAGUAACACGUGAGUAACCUGCCCUUGACUUUGGGAUAACUUCAGGAAACUGGGGCUAAUACCGGAUAGGAGCUCCUGCUGCAUGGUGGGGGUUGGAAAGUUUCGGCGGUUGGGGAUGGACUCGCGGCUUAUCAGCUUGUUGGUGGGGUAGUGGCUUACCAAGGCUUUGACGGGUAGCCGGCCUGAGAGGGUGACCGGCCACAUUGGGACUGAGAUACGGCCCAGACUCCUACGGGAGGCAGCAGUGGGGAAUAUUGCACAAUGGGCGGAAGCCUGUUGCAGCAACGCCGCGUGCGGGAUGACGGCCUUCGGGUUGUAAACCGCUUUCGCCUGUGACGAAGCGUGAGUGACGGUAAUGGGUAAAGAAGCACCGGCUAACUACGUG
rnacentral:rRNA from 1 species